rnacentral:rRNA from 1 species
AUGGCGGAAAGUGCUUUCCACUAUGAGCGUUGGCGGAAAGGGACACAUGUCGCUUUGUUGUGCUUCUGCCAGGGCAUUUUGCCAUACCAAAUAGAAAUUAAAAAUCUAACCACUAUUCAAGCUUCAUACCGUGUCUCUGGUGCCAUCUCAGCCUUUACACCAUGUGUAGACAUCCAUGUCUUCACCGUGAAGCUCCCGGUGCUGCUCUUGAAGCCCCGACACCCAAAGCAAAGGGAUGUCAACCACAGCUGUUGCAAACUACCCAACCCCUCAACACGCCUCAGGUUUGGAGAAUCAAGUAGCCCUAACUCUCUCACUUUGAGGAAGGUUCGAUACUCUUUCCAGGCCCUCACAACCUACAAUCAGAAGUUUCUCAGAGAGGAACUGGAGGUCCUCCACCACCUUCAAGCAACUUGCUCCUCUUAA